GUGCUGAUGUACUUCUUGGGUUUUCUUUGUGGUUUAUCUCAGCCGAGGCUCAGCCAGGGUCUGGGUGCUGACGCCUUCGGUGUUCCACUGCCAAACAGCAGCGAGCUGCAGUAGUGUCAGCUCACCAGUGAUGUGCAGACACCUGGAAGUCCCUCAGCAAAGCCAUGUUGGGCAGUGAGUCCUGUCUGAGCGGUGCUCCUGGAGCUGACUGCGUCCCAUACUCACCAGGUGUGCACCUGGCACUCACUGAGAACGACGUCCUGUGCACCACAACCACAUGAAGGACGUGGGGAGCCAUGGUCCUAUGCAGCAAAUCUGUGCCUUCAAAUCUGUGCCUUCAAAUCUGCACCUUCAAAUCUGCUUCAGGUGUUCACAUCGAGACCAUUGCCAGCAUGGACACAGUUGCUCACUUUUCAUCAUGAAGAAGCACCCCAACUGACCGAUGCCUCUUAGAACCACAGAACCGUUAAUGUUGGAAAAGAUCACCAAUUCCAAUCCCACUCCAUCACCACAUCCCUCAGUGCCACAUCUCCACAUUUCUGUAACACCUCCAGGGAUGGUGACCCCACCAUUCCCCGUGCAGCCCACACCACUGCACCAUCAUUCAUUCAGAGAAGAAAUUUUUCCUAAUAUCCAGUUCUUCAAGACCAAAGUGAUGUUACUUGUCAAACUGGACAGAAGGGACCUGAGCCAGUACUGGGCAGUGGUGCCAUCUUUCUGUCCUCUCACAUGUUGGCACUCACCCUGGGCCUCUUCACCCACAAAGAUACCACUUAAUGGCUUGUGGGUGGAAGGAAGGAAGGCUGGCACCCAGGCCCUUCUGGAGCACACAGCACAGGAGCAGAAGCAAGCCAUGCUGCCAACUGCAUGA
rnacentral:lncRNA from 1 species